GUUCCAUGCCACGUGGAGACGCCUAGCGCAUUCUAGCUUUUCUUCGAUGUUGUCGAGACGGCUCCGGAAGCGUCGAGAUUUGACUACUCCAAUAUCCCCAUUCAAAAAAGCUUAUAAACUCUGAACUGAGCUCCAAGUGCUGCCGCCACUGCGACCGUGAACUCAGCAUCGCUUCCGCUGCAGAGAUGCCGGCCGUUCCGUCCACUGCUCGCCUGUUCAAGUCCCUGCCGCCGCCGGCUGGACCGUGGCUGGCCUCGCCACUGCCAUUUGGCUCGUCCAGCCCUUCGACUGGAUCAAGAAGACGUUCUUUGCGAAGCAACAACCUGAGGAAUCAAAUAACUAGAACUAGUAGAAUCCUGCAUUCCUGCUGACGAGAUGAACUGCUAGCUGCUAGCUGCUGCACAUACACCGCCUCCUUCUGUUACCUGUACGUGUGAUUGUGUGUGUCUGAUUCUAGCUGUCUCCGUGUUUGUUAUUCUUCUCGUCUCUAUCACCUUGUAAAGUUGUGAGCAUCACAAAUAAAUGGAACUUGUGAAACUCGUCGAUAUUGCUCUUCCAUUAUAUUUAUUUGUUUGUGCA